rnacentral:rRNA from 1 species
GUAGGUGGCAAGCGUUGUCCGGGAAUUAUUGGGGCGUAAAGCGCGCGCAGGCGGUUCUUUAAGUCUGAUGUGAAAGCCCACGGGCUCAACCGUGGAGGGUCAUUGGAAACUGGAGAACUUGAGUACAGAAGAGGAAAGCGGAAUUCCACGUGUAGCGGUGAAAUGCGUAGAGAUGUGGAGGAACACCAGUGGCGAAGGCGGCUUUCUGGUCUGUAACUGACGCUGAGGCGCGAAAGCGUGGGGAGCAAACAGGAUUAGAUACCCUGGUAGUCCACGCCGUAAACGAUGAGUGCUAAGUGUUAGGGGGUCUCCGCCCCUUAGUGCUGCAGCUAACGCAUUAAGCACUCCGCCUGGGGAGUACGGCCGCAAAGGCUGA